rnacentral:rRNA from 1 species
AAAGACCCUAUGAAGCUUUACUGUAACUUGAAAUUGAAAUUGGACUUUAGUUGCGCAGGAUAGGUGGGAGGCGUUGAGAAUAGUCUUGCGGGAGUAUUGGAGCCAUCAGUGAGAUACCACUCUUCUAAUGUUAGAUUUCUAACUUUGGAUCAUUAUCUGGUCAAAGAACAGUUUCAGGCGGGCAGUUUGACUGGGGCGGUCGCCUCCUAAAGGGUAACGGAGGCGUACAAAGGUUUCCUCUGAACGAGUAGAAAUCGUAUCUAGAGUGUAAAGGCAUAAGGAAGCUUGACUGUGAGACCUACAAGUCGAGCAGGGACGAAAGUCGGUCUUAGUGAUCUGACGGUGCUGAGUGGAAAGGCCGUCACUCAACGGAUAAAAGUUACUCUAGGGAUAACAGGCUGA